rnacentral:rRNA from 1 species
ACGGAAGGCAGCAGUGGGGAAUAUUGCACAAUGGGCGAAAGCCUGAUGCAGCAACGCCGCGUGAAGGAUGAAGGCCUUUGGGUCGUAAACUUCUGUCCUUGGGGACGAAACAAAUGACGGUACCCUUGGAGGAAGCCCCGGCUAACUACGUGCCAGCAGCCGCGGUAAUACGUAGGGGGCGAGCGUUAUCCGGAAUUAUUGGGCGUAAAGAGUGCGUAGGUGGUCUUUUAAGCGCGGGGUGAAAGGCAAUGGCUUAACCAUUGUUAGCCUUGCGAACUGGGAGACUUGAGUGCAGGAGAGGAAAGCGGAAUUCCUAGUGUAGCGGUGAAAUGCGUAGAUAUUAGGAGGAACACCAGUGGCGAAGGCGGCUUUCUGGACUGUAACUGACACUGAGGCACGAAAGUGUGGGGAGCAAACAGGAUUAGAUACCCUGGUA